GAUGAACGCUGGCGGCGUGCCUAAUACAUGCAAGUCGAGCGAACAGACGAGGAGCUUGCUCCUCUGACGUUAGCGGCGGACGGGUGAGUAACACGUGGAUAACCUACCUAUAAGACUGGGAUAACUUCGGGAAACCGGAGCUAAUACCGGAUAAUAUAUUGAACCGCAUGGUUCAAUAGUGAAAGACGGUCUUGCUGUCACUUAUAGAUGGAUCCGCGCCGCAUUAGCUAGUUGGUAAGGUAACGGCUUACCAAGGCAACGAUGCAUAGCCGACCUGAGAGGGUGAUCGACCACACUGGAACUGAGACACGGUCCAGACUCCUACGGGAGGCAGCAGUAGGGAAUCUUCCGCAAUGGGCGAAAGCCUGACGGAGCAACGCCGCGUGAGUGAUGAAGGUCUUCGGAUCGUAAAACUCUGUUAUUAGGGAAGAACAAAUGUGUAAGUAACUAUGCACGUCUUGACGGUACCUAAUCAGAAAGCCACGGCUAACUACGUG
rnacentral:rRNA from 1 species